rnacentral:lncRNA from 1 species
GCAGAAAGCAGAAACCUUUGAGUAACGUUUCUACAGGCCCAAAUAUAGCCAUAGGUGCUUCCACACAUGCCUGACGCUGCUAGAAGCUGAGUUUGUGCCAACUUCCCUGCCCUCCUCAGCAGGGUUAAAGCCCAGUAAGAUGGAGGCCACAGCUCUCAACAGCACGUGGAUCACCUUCCUUCGUGUUUCUUCUUCUCAGCUGCUCACAGUGAUGUCCUCCCCUAACCCCUGCUAUCCAUCCCGGUGGCUGCUCUCACACUGCUGCUAAACUCUCCCCAUAUGACUUAUUUGGGCCACUGGUGUAAUAGCAAAUGCGACAGAAGCAAAAUUUUGAGGAGGGUUUAUGCACUGGGAUCAGUCCAUGCAUACUGCUCUUUGGAAAUUGAGAUGAGCAAGGGAAGAAGCCGGGCUUUGCUACUAAUUAACUCAUGGCCGUAUAGAGGAGAAUGGGGUUAUUCAAGCUGAGCUCCUGAGCCUGUAGUCUGCCAAACCCACAGACCAUGAAUAAAGCCAUUCUAUACUAACCAACCCCAGCUGACCUAGGCCAAAAUAACCACCCAAUUUAUCCACAGAGUGAUGAGAAGUGAUAGUUUUUGUUCGUGUUUGCUAGGUAUUGAACCCAAGGCCUCCUCGUACGUGCUAAGGCUUUCUGCCACUUAGCUACAAUCCCCAUCCCUUGAUUGCUAUUUUAAGGUCACUAGACCUAUGGGGUAAUUUGUUAUGUUAGAAAAGUUAACCAAUAUGCCAGUGUUCUUCAAGUGUUUCCCAUAAGGCUUUUCGUAGAGCAGUGACUAGUACACCAAGGAGAAAGUGUGUUGAUUAGAGCUGUCGUUCCAAUCACCAGAUUUUUAUCCAGAUGCUCACAUCAGCCAGUGUUCUGAUGGCCUCUCAACGCCUAAGUCUUGGCAUCCCACAACUCCUCCCCAAUCAAAGGUGAGGGAGGGCAAGCAGAGUGAUAGGAGGACAGGCUCUUAAGGCAACACGUUAUGUCACCUAAGAUAGCAGCUCUUGAAGCUCUGAGCGGGAGCUGAAAAGUGUGUGCGGUAAGCCUAGCUUCUCAUUUCCUUUUGUUGUCCAGAGAUACUUCUAAAGUUUUGUUUGAAUGUUUCAAACUGUCCUCAGCUGGUUCAAAAGGAACUAAAAAGCUCAAGUUCACGUUUCCAGGGGGACACCAUUCCCGUGUGACUGUUGGGUUGUUGUAGAACCGUCGGGGAAGAGGCUCUCCUGCGCCUACCUAAUGAAUUCUGGAGGAAGGAGCACUUGGAAGCCAGCUGCUGCUCAGCGCCACUCGGCCAAGUUCUCUGUGAGGCUGUUGCUUGUGCGUCGUGGCUAAGGAAGGCAAGCAUGAGUAGGCGCAGAGCCAUGCUCUUUUCCCUUCUGACAGACACUGAUGUCAUCCCUCAGAAGAGUUCAAGGAAUCCAGUUCACUCAGACUUGGGAAGAAGGAAGGAAGGAAGCAGAUAUUCCUGGAGAUCUCUGAGCCACGGUUCAGACCUCGGCCUCCACGUGUACUAGGCUGCAGUCCAGUGGAGUGACGGCACGGCACUGACGCUAGGUUACACGAGCUCCAAGAAACGGAGAGCCGAAGAUCUCAAUAGAAACAGACGCCUAGGUUAGCAGAGUUGUGACCACAGCUGCCAAGCAACUCCUGCCUCACUCUUCCUUGGCUACCAGAGAAGGGCUGGGCUCUCCCCGCAGUGAACCAGGCGAUGGGAAACCUAAGAAAACCAUGGCUGAUCCUGACGCUGGCCAGCGGGAUGAAGCACACUCGGACUGCUUCAACCCACCAGACUUGGGUCGUGUACACAGCUUGAGAACCCUCUCAGAGUCAUAUUCAUGGAGGGAGGAAUGAAGGAUCUGAAGGAGGACCCUAACCAGCCUUUAAUCCCAGCACUCGGGAGGCAGGGGUUAGAUCGCUGAGUUUCAUAGGGAAUUCCAGGCCAGCCAGAAUUACAGGUUAAGAACUUGUCUUAAAAAUAAAUGCAAUUUUUAGGGCUGGUGAGAUGGCUCAGUGGUUAAGAGCACUGACUGCUCUUCCGAAGUUCCUGAGUUCAAAUCCCAG